UACAGAGGUCUCAAGCGUUGUUCGGAUUCAUUGGGCGUAAAGGGUGUGUAGGUGGCGCCGUUAGUCGGGUGUGAAAUUUCGGAGCUUAACUCCGAAACUGCAUUCGAUACUGCGGUGCUUGAGGACUGGAGAGGAGACUGGAAUUCAUGGUGUAGCAGUGAAAUGCGUAGAGAUCAUGAGGAAGACCAGUGGCGAAGGCGGGUCUCUGGACAGUUCCUGACACUGAGACACGAAGGCCAGGGGAGCAAGCGGG
rnacentral:rRNA from 1 species